rnacentral:lncRNA from 1 species
UCCCAAUUGAUACGAUAUUCUCGUGCUUGUAUUUCCUAUCAUGAUUUUCUUGAUAGAUGGUUGCUGCGCACAAGGAAGCCAUUAAACCAAGAGUUCCAAAUGGUGAUGUUGAAAUCAUUCCUUCGUAAAUUCCUUCAUAACGAGUUGGUUGACCGUUAAACGGUUUCAAAAUGAUAUCGGAUAUGUUCCUUACGUCGUAACUACAAUCCCCUUCCCUUUCAUGAAUGUGACCUACCGAAUUAGACUCUUUAACGGAUUUGUUAUUACAUAAGCAACACGACGGGUGCCACAUGUGGAGCAGGAUUUGCUUACCUUUUCGGAGCACAUGAGAUCACCCCUAGUUUUUGAUGGGGUUCGUGUUGCUUAUUCUUUAGUUUUCUAUGUUGUGUCAUGUGUACUAUUGUUUUUCUGUUUGUCUUUUUCAUUUUUAGCCAGGGCGUUGUCAGUUUAUUUUCGAUUCAUGAGUUGGACUGUCCCUCUGGUAUCUUACGCCCCUUUUUUACAUGCUGAACGACUGAUGUACGUCGAACGCGCGAUCUAGGUCAUAGCUAUUGUUAACCUAACCAUGUGCCUGUCAUGAUAAGGAAUCGGUCCUAGUACUUAAAAUCGUAUAAUAAAAAAGCAAUACAUGAGGUUGUUAAAUUCUAUAUAUGCCUUUUUACGUUUCCUUGUUACAUAUUUGUUUAUUUUUAUAGUGAUCAAGAUUUAAACACAAUAUUGACUACUGUAACCCUAUUUUUACAUUUGUACCUAUUAUAAAAAUGGAAAUGGGGAAUGUGUCAAAGAGACAACAACCCGACCAUAGAACAGACAACAGCAGAAGGUCACAAAUAGGUCUUCAAUGCAGCGAGAAAUUCCCGCACUCGGAGGCGUCCUUCAACUGAACCUUAAACACAUAUAUAUACUAGUUCAGUGAUAAUGAACGCCAUACUAAACUCCAAAUUAUACACAAGAAACUAAAAUUAAAAAUAAUACAAGACUAACAAAGACCAGAGGAUCCUGACUUGGGACAGGCGCAAAAUUGCGGCGGGGUUAAACAUGUUUAUGAGAUCUCAACCCUCCCACUAUACCUCUUGUCAAUGUAGAAAAGUACCUACUAUAUAUGUUUGUUUUGUUCAUGCAUCGUUGUCAUUAUAAUGGAAUUUGAUGCGACUGUCAUACAAGUGAGAGGUUUAACUAGCUAUUUUCUACAUAAGUAAAUGCCUGUACAAAGUCAGGAAUAUGACAGUUGUUAUCCAUUCGGUUGAUGUGUUUGAGCUUUUGGUUUUGUCAUUUUUAUGGGACUUUCCAUCUUAAAUUUUUUUUCGGAGUUCAGUAUUUUUGUAAUUUUACUAUUUG